rnacentral:rRNA from 1 species
AGGGAAUCUUCCGCAAUGGGCGAAAGCCUGACGGAGCAACGCCGCGUGAGUGAUGAAGGUCUUCGGAUCGUAAAACUCUGUUAUUAGGGAAGAACAUAUGUGUAAGUAACUGUGCACAUCUUGACGGUACCUAAUCAGAAAGCCACGGCUAACUACGUGCCAGCAGCCGCGGUAAUACGUAGGUGGCAAGCGUUAUCCGGAAUUAUUGGGCGUAAAGCGCGCGUAGGCGGUUUUUUAAGUCUGAUGUGAAAGCCCACGGCUCAACCGUGGAGGGUCAUUGGAAACUGGAAAACUUGAGUGCAGAAGAGGAAAGUGGAAUUCCAUGUGUAGCGGUGAAAUGCGCAGAGAUAUGGAGGAACACCAGUGGCGAAGGCGACUUUCUGGUCUGUAACUGACGCUGAUGUGCGAAAGCGUGGGGAUCAAACAGGAUUAGAUACCCUGGUAGUCCACGCCGUAAACGAUGAGUGCUAAGUGUUAGGGGGUUUCCGCCCCUUAGUGCUGCAGCUAACGCAUUAAGCACUCCGCCUGGGGAGUGCGACCGCAAGGUUG